GGCGGCUGAUGGAUCGAUUCUCCAAUCAGAUGGUAUCAGAGCGACAGCAUGAAGAACCCCAGGUGGUUUUACUACAACACUGCGUGGAUUCCAUGAUUUGGUUCAUCAUCGUUGUAAUAAUCCAAAGUCUGGGUCUCCGAGCGGCGGAACGAGUUGAGGAAAGCAGGAAUCUGAGGAAUGUGGGUGGUUAAAGUUCCGCAGAAUCCAGAUAAGUAUCUUUGAAAGAGACGCUUUGGGUUCAGGGUCGGUAGCCGACGUCAACGUGUACGAGAGUUAAAAGCUUUCUUCUCCCCAUAAGACAGUAAAUGAACAUUGUUCAGCUCAUGCUGAUAGAAGGAAGGAAAGCGGAACAGGACCAGAGGAGCACGGGGAGCUGGCUGAAGGUAACGGGACGUCCCACAGACCCCCCACUGUGAACGAUCUCUCGUUGGUAGGGGGUUUGGAGAAGACGGGAUCUAGAGGUUUGGGGCACAGUUGCUGCUGGAGUUUAACUCUUGAUCAGGCAACCAAAGAAACGUACAUCUUCUCCUCAGAACCGGAACAUGAAGAGCCUGAGAGUCGCUAACAAUUCCUCCCCCCUCCCCGUGGAAACACAGCACAGUGGGGGGGUCGAGAUCUAUUUUUCAGCAUACUAGUUAUCGGUAUUAGAUCCAUGGACUGCAUACAAGAAGUACGUGAGAAGUUACAGGACGUCAUCCGGUUCAUUCUGCGUCACAUGAAUAAGAUAUUCAUGUUUUCCACCAGCUUUAUUUUAAAUAUCCAGCGAGUGACCCGCCAUCUUCAUCCAUCAC
ensembl:lncRNA